UUUCGUCUCCCCAGGGAGGGGUGGGGAUGUUCGCUUCGUCAUCGUGGACCUCAAAACCCUAACCUAAACCCUUUCUUCAUUUUCUUCAUUUUCUUCAUUCGAACCCCAUAAUGUCAUCCAUAAACGUUUUCUCAAUACCAUUUCUACUUCUACAUCGCCUUCACCCUCUCUUUCUACCAUCCAAUUCCUCACUAAUUCAUGCGGCCUUUCUUCUGGAUCUCCUACUUCCGCAAGACGAAAGCUCCAAUUCGAUGAACCAAACAUCCACAAGUACGAAGCCAUUAUCCGUUUCUUGAAAUCACAUGGAUUCGAGAAUCCACAGAUCGCCAAUUUGGUCUCCAGGCAACCUUCGAUCCUUCGACCCCGUACACGACUUCCUGCAUGCGCGACACGUGUCCACACCCCUACGGUUGACUGGACUGUUGACUCGUUGUACGGAAGUCGUGUACGGUACACGACUUCCACCAUACGCGGCAAAAUGUGCCAGCUGUACGGGAGUCAUGUACCGGGUACACGACUCCAGUCAGAAAACGUGGGUCGGGUCCACGACUCCACUCGGAUAUCGUAAGCCCGGUCCACGACACCAUUUUGAUUUGUAGGGUACACGACUCCAGUCAGAAAACGUGGGCCGAGUCCACGACUCCACUCGGAUAUCGUAAGCCCGGUCCACGACACCAUUUUGAUUUGUAGAAAUCGUGUACCCCGUACACGACUUCAGUAACCUAUUUUUGAAAAUAUUUUCCCAACUAUUGUAAAUACUUUUACCAAACACAUUAUUUUUAAAAAAAAUCCCGCAUUUCCUAAUAGGAAUAAGUAAAAAGAAAAUAAGUUAAUUAGAAAAAUCCUUAACAAUUCCUCUAUUCUUUGAAAUCGUUCAUAAUUGGUUUUCCGGUUUCGUCUCGGCGGGGUGCGGUGGGGAUGUUCGCGGAGCUCAAAACCCUAACCAAAACCCUUCCUUCAUUUUCUUCAUUCUAACCCCCAAUAUGUUCAAAAUUUCCUCCACAUUUCUUCUUCAUUUCAUCCACAAGCGUUUUCUCAAUACCAUUUCUACUUCUACAUUGCCUUUACGCUCUGUUUCUACCAUCCAAUUUCUCACUAAUUCAUGUGGCCUUUCUUCAGGAUCUCCUUCUUCCAACGGUCGAAUGCUCCAAUUCGAUGAUAAAAGCAUCCAGCAGUACGAAUCCGUUAUCGGUUUCUUGAAAUCGCAUGGAUUCGAUAAUCUACAGAUCGCCAAUUUGGUCUCGAGGCGACCUAACAUCCUUGGAUCCAGAGUAUCCACCAAUCUCAAGCCUAAAUUUGAGUUCCUCCAGGAAAUCGGGUUCGUCGGUCCUUUACUUCCUAAGAUAAUUUUAGCAAACCCACCGCUCCUUCUCAGGAGCUUACAUUCUCAUUUGAAACCAUCACUUGUUUUCUUGAAGGAAAUUCUUGAAUCGGAUGAACGAGUAAUUGCUGCUAUUUGUAGUUCUUCGUGGCUUCUGACUUAUGAUUUUGAGCGUGUUAUAAAACCUAAUGUUGAUGUUUUGGCCAGUGAAGGAGUACCUUCAAGGAAUAUAGCAAAGUUGAUUGCAUUGGACCCUAGAACUAUUAUGCAAAAGGUUGAUAGAAUGAUUCAUGCAGUGAAAACGGCGAAAGAAUUAGGCAUCGAACCAAAGUCUGGCAUGUUUAUUUAUGCAGUUGUUGUAAGGCUUUCAAUGAGUGAUUCAAAUUGGAAGAAGAAAAUAAAUGUUAUGAAGAGUUUAGGAUGGUCUGAGGAUGAGAUUUUUACAGCAUAUAAGAAAUAUCCACCUUAUUUAAAUUGUUCAGAGGAGAAAUUGAGGGAUGUUGCAGAUUUCUGUUCCAACACUGCCAAGUUAGAUCCAGGAACUCUAAUUACUUACCCUAACUUCUUCACUUUUUCAGUCGAGAAGCGGCUCCAACCGAGGUACAGAGUUCUUGAGGUUUUGAAGUUGAAAAAUCUUCUUAAAAACAAAAAGAUUGCUCCGUUUUUUGUCGAAGGGGAGAGAAGAUUUGUGGAGAAAUAUGUAGUUAAGCAUUUGGAUGAAAUCCCAAAUCUGAUGGACAUAUACAGAGGCAAUGUUGCAGCCGAAACCAAAUCUGUUCUAUAGGAUUGGAAAGUUGUAAGUUAUCUAUAUAUGUUCUUAUAGUUUAAAUUCUGCUGUAUAAUUCUUCAUAGACAUGUUAAUCUUGAAAUUGGUGGCCUUUUUGUUUCUCCCUUCCUAAUCUUCUACUUGUGUAAGUUUGUAGAAUAAUUUUGAAUCCCAUGAUGUUGAAAUAAAGGUGGUUUUGUUCAUUCAUACUGUGAGAUGAGAGAAUACUCUUCAGAACUACUUAAAAUAUUUUGUUUUUUCAGAUUGUUUAUUAGUCCCUUUUCUAGUCACAUCCUUGAAGCUCUGGGUGAAUCACUACAUCUUGCACUCAGCCAUGAUCUUCUUCUAAAAAAAAUCCUUUCAAUGCUUGUUUUCACUUGAAGAUUGAAGAUGGAACAGAAACAGGCAAACCCUAAUGCGUAAAGACAAAUGGAAAAUGAGGAAGGAGGAAAGAAAAUCACUUCAAUGGUCUACAAAGGAGAUGGAACCACUCCCACUUUGAAGGAUAAGGGUGUAAGUAUAAUGAUGUUUGAACAUUUAUGAAACUGAUUUUGGGUUUUUGUAAAUUCUUAUUUUUCUUUCUUUUUGUAAUUUUUUAAAAAUAAUUUUGCUAUUUUUGCAACUUAAAAAUUGUUAUUCUAAUUUUUAACUUCAUCGUGCAUUUACAUUUGGAGUAAUAAUCUCAUGUUCAACUUCAUCGUGUUUUUUUAAGAAGAAGAAUAAAAACAAAUUAUAGUCCCGUUUGAAGCAUGCAAAUACUCAUCUUCAUUUUCCAACUUACAUCUUUGAUCUUCAAGUUUACAACUCGUAAUUUCAAGCACUUGGGGUUGAAGAACGAAAAUCUUCACGGGAAAGAACAAAAAUACAAAAGUUGCAUCUUCUUUGUCUCUUGGAGAGAUUUUUGGCGGAUUUGUUCUCAAAAUCAUUUAUAAUAUUUAUUUAAUAAAAUGUAGACUUGGUUUUGGGACAUUUUAUGUAAAGAACACAAUAUCUUAGCCUAUUUUGUUUGGAAAAAAAGAGAGGAGUAAUUUCUUUUUAAACCAUUUUUUUUUUAUGAUUAAAAGGGAUGAGAAAGAAGAAGACCAUGAUGAAUGCAAGAUGCAUUGAUCGAUUAAGAGUUACAGGGGUGACUGGAAAAGGGACUAAAAAAUUGAAAACAAUUGAAACUUUAAGGAUAUACAAAAGAGAUAUUUCAAAAUAGUAAUUAUUUCAAAUAUAUGAUCAAGAGAUUAAGGAUAUACAAAAGAGAAUGAGUAAAAACAAACCAUUGAAGAGAUUGACUAUGAGUUUAACCACCAAGUUCGGGAUGGAUUGGUGUGGUUCCUCUACGCCUAGGACACCAGAAUAUCGAACCAUGAACGAAGAAAGGCAUGAGAGAAAAGCAUAUUGGCUAGUGAUUGUGAGGCCCCAAUUCUUGACUGGAGGGGACACCAAAGGCCUCUGCUCUUAAAAAUUAAAUUAAGAUCUAAUAAGAAAACUAAUUUUGAUUUUCAAAUUAUUAAAGGUGGGCAAUUCAUGUUAUUUGAAAAUAGAAAUAAGGGUUGAGAUUCAACCAAUAAAAAGUAAUAAUAUGAUUGUUUUUAAAAUUAAAAAAAAAAACGAUGUUAAAAUCUUCAACCAAAAUUAUUAAAUUCUGAAAUUGUUGUUGCACUUUGCUCUGUAUCUCACUUAAGGUAUCGUUUUUCGCCUAGUCAAGUCGGGUACUGAUUAUCUCGCCAAGUGGACAAAACGUCUAGUGGUCAAAAAACAAAGCUGAAAAACAAAGAAUAGUUAAGUAAUGGCUGAGUCGCAGAUCACGUUUUCUUUAAGACGUUUGCUUCUUUGUCCAAACAAAAUUAUUGCCCCAUCGUUCACAGGAUAAAACAACAUUUAUUCUUCAAUUGAUUUUGCACAUAAAUCAAUUGAAAUCUCAGCACUCAGAUAAACACUUACAAUUGCUCAGUAAACUCAAAAGAAGAAUUUUUAGAGAGAGUUUUCUUGCUUAUGAAAAUUGCGCGCGUAUAAUGAAAGAAUGAAGAAAGUGUAUAUAUAGUGUGAGAGAAUCAAUAGACCGUUGAAAAUUAAUUUUGUAACAUUUUUAUUUAUGGAGAGAUCAUGUAUGUUUACUUAUUAAAUACAGUAAUAAACGUUUGAUUCUUUUAAAUAUGUAAUAAAAAUCAUAACAUUAAUAGAUCUUAUCAUGUUUGACAAUCUCUCCUACGAUGUCAACAUAUGCGAUGAGAUGUUCUAAUAUUUCUUGUAGCUAUCUCACAUAACUCAUGCUAUCGCAUAGUCAUUAUAAAUAUUACAUAGUUGAAAACUAAAACACGAAAAACUCUCAAAUUUUCAUUUGCAUAGCAUUUGAAACAUAUAGUUAUCGCAUAACUUAGUCUUCUCAAAUCGCAUAAAGAAUUAACGUUUAAAACAUAGCUAUAUCGCGUAGCUUGGUCUUCUCGUAUAAAGAAUUUUUCUUCGACACAAAUAAACAAUGUUAGAUUUCUAAUGAUCGAGAGUGGAUUAGAAAUGCCCAAUUGUGAUUACUUUGCCAUAUUUUUGUCAUUUGUUUUAUUCUCACACUAUUUUUUUGAAUAAAUUUACUAUCGACCAUGUUUUCGUCGUUGUGAUAUUACUUUUAGAAUUAACUCGAGAAUAUGGAAGUUAUGUGUAAGUAAAAUGAAUAAUGUAUUUUUUCUACUUCAUUAGAUUUUUUUAAUUCUCCAUAACAAUUUCUUUAUUAUUUGAAAGUAAAAUUAAAAAUGAUUAUUUAACUAAAUAACAAAUAAUAAAUAAUAAACAAACUUCAAAAGAUUCAUUCAUCUCUAUAGGGUGGGGAAUGGGAUGUUCGUGGAGCUCCAAAGCCCUAACCCUAACCCUAACCCUUCAAUUUCUUCAAUCCAAUUCCCAAAAUGUCCAAAAUUUCCUCCACAUUUCUUCUACAUUUCAUCCAUAAACGUUUUCUCACCACCAUUUCUACUUCUACAUUGCCUUCCCCUCUAUUUCUACCGUUCAAUUCCUCAAAAAUCCAUCUGCCCUUUAUUCAGGAUCUCCUACUCCCAACGGUCCAAAGCUCCAAUUCCAUGAAAUAGACAUCCAGCAGUACGGAGCCAUUAUCGGUUUCUUGAAAUCACAUGGGUUCGAGAAUCCACAGAUCGCCAAGUUGGUUUCCAGGCAACCUUCGAUCCUUCAAUCCAGAGUCGCCACUCUGAAACCUAAAUUUGAGAUCCUUCAGGAAAUCGGGUUCGUCGGUCCUUUACUUCCUAAGCUAAUUCUGUCAAACCCUUCGGUUCUUCACAGGAGCUUAGAUUCUCAGUUGAAACCAUCAUUUCGUAUCAUAAAGGAAAUGCUUGUAUCGGAUGAAAAGGUAACUGCUGCUAUUUUUCGUUGUACGUGGCUUCUAACUUAUACUUCCAAGGGUACUAUGCGAUCUAACAUUGAUGUUUUGGUUAGUGAGGGAGUACCUUCUAGGAAUAUCGUGAAAUUGAUUGAAUUGAACCCUAGAACUAUUUUGCGAAAGGUUGAUUUAAUGAUUCAUGCAGUGGAAACAGUUAAAGAAUCAGGGGUUGAACCAAAGGAUGGUAUGUUUCUUCAUGCAGUUAGAGCAGUGCUUUCAAUGAAUGAUUCAACUUGGAAGAAGAAAAUAAAUGUUAUGAAGAGUUUAGGAUGGUCUGAGAAUGAGAUUUUUACAGCAUUUAAGAAAUUUCCACCUUACUUCACAUGUUCAGAGGAGAAAAUGAGGGACGUUGCAGAUUUCUGUUCCAACACUGCAAUGUUAGAUCCAGGAACUCUAAUAUCUUACCCUGUGUUAUUCAAGUAUUCAGUCGAGAAGCGGCUCCAACCGAGGUACAAAGUUCUUGAGGUUUUGAAGGUGAAAAAUCUUCUUAAAAUCAAAAAGAUUGCUUCGGCAUUUGUGAAAGGGGAAGGAUAUUUUGUGGAGAAAUAUGUAGUUAAGCAUUUGGAUGAAAUCCCAAAUCUGAUGGACAUAUACCGUGGCAAUGCUGCAGCCGAAACCAAAUCUGUUGUAUAGGAUUGGAAAGCUUGAAGUUUAGAUUUGAGCAUCAUGAUCUUCAAAGGGGGAGAGAAUUUUUGUGGUUAUUGAGCCUUCUGUUUCAGCUAACAUUGCUUCUUGAGCCUUUUCAGGUGGGAGAGUUGUGUUGUCUUUCCAUCCAAAUUAAGACAGGUAAAUCUAUUUGGUGUACAUUUCUUCAUAGACGUGUUAAUCUUGAAAUUGGAGGCCUUUUUGUUUUUCCCUUUCCUAAUCUUUUACUCUUUGCUUGAACAUUUGUAAGUUUGUAGACUAAUUUAGAAUCAAAUGAUAUUGAAAUAGAGGUGAUUUUGUUCAUUCAUACUAUGAGAUGAGAUGAGAGACAUUAGACUUUUUGAAUAUUCUGAGUUGGACUCUUAUUCUUUUGCUAUUCCAAAUAGAUUUUCAUAUCUUGGGUAAAUGACAAACAUUGUCAUGAAAUUCAUUUUUAUUUAAACGGUUUGAAAAUUUCAAACCACUAAAGCUUAAUUAUAAGGAUCAUCAUAGGCAAUAUUCGUUAAACUUUCCCACCUCCGUUCGAGUUCUUUUUUUAUUAUAUUUUGUAAAUAGUUUGAUGGUUGUGAAAAUGUUUCCCGGUUAUUUUUUCUUUCUUUUUAUUCUUUUUAUUGUUUUUUUUUCUUUUGGUAAAUUCAAGGACUCGAGUCUUCAACUUUAGUGUCUUUAUGUAAUAUGUAUAAAUAAAACUAAUUAAGGUUUAAUAUUUGUAGGUAGCUUAGUGGUAACUGUGCUUGUCACAUGUCAAUAAAAUUUUGGGAUCUGGAUUCGCCACUCUAUAUAUAUUUGAAUGGUUCGAUUGAACUUAUUCUUAACUUUAGAUUAGGGUAGGGAGUUUCGUCUAUUAGCGUAAGUUCAAUUCACGUAAUUGAAUAUAGUAUUGCCAUACCAUAAUAUUACAUGUAACAACAAGAUAAGUUUGAUCUUACUUAUUUUCUUUGUAGGUGAAUGAAGACUUCCUAUACUAACUUAAAUAUCCUAAUGCAAUAGGAUUGGUACCGCAUCGUGUGAGAAUCUGUUUCACAAGUCAAGAAGAGAAUAAUCAAGACAAGACUCGCUAGGAAGGUCAAGCCUACAAGAACCUGUGGCAAACCCUAACUUCGGUGACAUUCAAGCGCCAACGAUAUUCACAAAAGCAAUGUCACGUAUCCAUACCCUAUGAUAUUUUUGCAAAAAUAAAAGAGUUCAAAAAAAUAUUUAAAUGGAUAAAUUAGCAUUUUUUAUACCAUUUAAAAGGUUUGUUAUUUAUAUUAUGUUUAGUUAGAAACACUUUUGUUAUACUCAAUGGUGCAAAAACUUGGUUUUUGAAAAUAUUGGUAGAGAAAACAAUAUAUAGGUAUAUAUGAACAUUUUUCUAUUGACGAGUACAUCUACAUGGUGCAAAGAGUACCAUAAAAUCGAUAUUGGAUUUGCUUUCAGACUACUCCCAAUUUACAAUUGAGUAGACGUCGAUAGGAUACUAUUGUGUUGUGGAUGUUUUGUGAAUGACGUCGUGGGCUGCUUGUUUUGCGAGAAAUCUGUCAUUUGCCAAUUUAUUUUAUUGAGAUGGACGUGGAAAUGAAGAACAUGAAGUUUGAGAGGAAAUAUUGGGAUUUGAGGAUGGAGAACUAGGUGAAUUUUUUUUAGAGUAUGAACAUUUAAGGCAAUUUUUCGUAUUAACAAUUAAAAUAAAAUUUUAUCAUUUAUUCAAAGUAAACCUUUAAAUUUGUAAUUUUAUUAGUCGGUCUCUCUCAGUUAAUAUUUUCUACUUUACCCUACUUUUGCCAUUUGUUUAUAUUCUUACGUUAUAUAAAUUUAGAUGUAUUUGUCAUUUUUCUAAACAAUGAUAUUAAUUUUAGAAUUAAACGAUGAAAGUUAUUUGUAAGUAAAAUAAAUAAUGCAUUUCCUAAUAGGGAUAAUUAAAAAAUAUCUAAUAUCCAUAACCAUUCCUCCAUUAUUUGAAAGUAAUUAUUGAAAUAAAAUUAUGUAUCUAUAUAAAUAAUAAAAUAAUAUACGAACUUCAAAAUUCCAUAUCAAAAUUCAACUUUUUAAGCUUUUAAAUUUUAUUUUCUUAAGUUUUACUCAAGGAAGGAAAUUCGUCUUUUCUUCGCACGAAAAAUAUAAAUUCAUCUUUUAACAAAAGAUAAAAGAAAAGUUCUAAUAUAUUCCUUUAUUUUUAUUAUUUAAGCCAAAAUAUAAUAUUCUUUUAUUUUUAAUUAGGUAAAUAAACAAAAUUUUUCUUUUUCUUUUUACAUAUAUAUUAAAAAUAAAAUUUAUAUUUAUUCGCUCAAAACAAAAUUUAUUAACUACUUAGAUUAAAUAAUAUUUUUUAAUACAAAAAUUAUAAACAAAAUUUCAUUUUAAUAUUUAAUUUAUUUGACUUAUCUUUCAAAAACUAUAAUAAUAAUUUAAAAAACAUUUUAAAAUAAAGGGUGCGAUUUUAGGCGAUGGGCCAAACAACCCCAAUUGGGGAUAGAUGUUCGCUUCGUUGAGCUCAAAACCCUAACCAAAACCCUUUCUUCCUUUUCUUCAUUCCAAACCCCAAUAUGUCCAAAAUUUCCUCCACACUUCUUCUACAUUUCAUCCAUAAACGUUUUCUCAAUACCAUUUCUACUUCUACAUUGCCUUCACCCUCUCUUUCUACCAUCCAAUUCCUCACUAAUUCAUGCGGCCUUUCUUCUGGAUCUCCUACCUCCGCCGGUCGAAAGCUCCAUUUCGAUGAAAAACACAUCCACCAGUACGGAGCCAUCAUCGGUUUCUUCAAAUCUCAUGGAUUCGAGUAUCCACAGAUCUCCAAUUUGAUCUCGAGGCGACCUUCGAUCCUUCAAUCCAGAGUAUCCACCAAUCUGAAGCCUAAAUUUGAGUUCCUUCAGGAAAUCGGGUUCGUCGGUCCUUUACUUCAUAAGUUAAUUUUAUCAACCCCAUGGGUGCUUAGCAAAAGCUUAGAUUCCCAGUUGAAACCAUCAUUUUUUUUCAUUAAGGAAAUUCUUGAAUCGGAUGAACAAGUAACUGCUGCUGUUAUUUAUCGUUUUCCAAGCCUUCUAAUUAGUGAUUGGCGGGGUAAUUUUAAAUCUAGCUCUGAUAUUUUGGCCAGUGAAGGAGUACCUUCUAGGAAUAUAAAGAAGAUGAUUGCAUUGAACCCUAGAACUUUUAUGCAAAAGGCUGAUAGAAUGAUUGAUGCAGUGAAAACGGUUAAAGAAUUAGGCAUUGAACCAAAGGCUCGCAUGUUUAUUUAUGCACUUUUUGUAAGGCUUUCAAUGAAUGAUUCAACUUGGAAGAAGAAAAUAAAUGUUAUGAAGAGUUUAGGAUGGUCUGAGAAGGAGAUUUUUUCAGCAUUUAAGAGAUAUCCAUUUUAUUUAACAUGCUCAGAGGAGAAAUUGAGGGAUGUUGCAGAUUUUUGUUUGAACGCUGCAAAGUUGGAUCCAGUAACUCUAAUUACUUACCCUGAGUUCUUCAAGUCUUCAAUCGAGAAGCGGCUCCAACCGAGGUACAAAGUUCUUGAGGUUUUGAAGGUGAAAAAUCUUCUUAAAAUAAAAAAGAUUGGUCCGGUGCUUUUACGAGGGGAGAGAGAAUUUGUGGAGAAAUAUGUAGUUAAGCAUUUGGAUGAAAUCCCAAAUCUGAUGGACAUAUACCGUGGCAAUGUCGCAGCCGAAACCAAAAGUGUUGUAUAGGAUUGGAAAGUUGUAAGUUAACAAUGUUCUUAUAGUUUAAAUUUGAGCAUCAUGAUCUUCAAAAGGGGAGAGCAUUUUUGUUGUUAUUGAGCCUACUGUUCUGUUUCAAACAACACUACCUCUUGAGCUUUUCAAAAUCUCUCUCUCUCUCUCUCUCUGUGUGUUUUCAGGUGGAGAGUUGUGUUGUUUUUGCAUCCAAAUCAAGGCAGUUAGGUACGUAAAUCUAUUUGAUGUAUAUUUGUUCAUAGACAUGUUAAACUUGAAAUUGGAGGCCUUUCUGCUUCAACUUUUGUAAGUUUGUAGACUAAUUUUGAAUCUAAUGAUCUUGAAAUAGGGGUAGCUUUUUUUCAUUCCUAUUGUGAGAUGACAGACAUUAGAGUUAUAGAUAAACUUCACACACUUUCAACUAUACCCUCCCGCUCUCAACAUACUACAAAAUCUCAAAACCUCAUUCUUCCAUUUAUGUGUUCUCUCCCUGUAAUUAUCCUCUUCAUCGUUCCAAUCCCAACAAUUAAUAUGUUUACAGCACUUCCGACCACCGUAAUCCUUUUUCUGACCUCGAAAUCUUAUUCCUAACCCAAAAAUACCAACCAAACUACCUAACUCUCCGGCCACAUUCUGCCAUAUAAUUUCUUAAUUUCACCUCACAAAUCUUAAAAAAUCCAAGCCCUUCCAUCUUUCAAAUUGGCUGCCAAAAUUUUAAAUAAGCCAAUCCAGGUUUCUUCACAGUGAGGGAAAAAUUCCAACUUUCUUUUGAUAUAAACUCUCAAGAUUUUCAUUUGUUGCAGCAAGUUUCUAGAGAGGACCAAAUAAAGAAAAGGUUUAAAAUUAGAUAAGUUUCCUUUUUCUAAAACAAUUUUUAAGUUUAGUUUUGAAAAUUGGAAAUAUGGAAACUUUUGAAUUAAACCAAUGGUUAAAACAAUCAUUUGCAAAAUUAAAAGUUUAAUUAACGAUCAAAAGGGUGUAGAUGGUCAUCAAACAAGAUCAACAACAUUGAUUACAUGUAACAAGAAAGAACGAUAGAAAAAACAUAAUUGAAAAAUGGAGAGAAAACAAAUAUAAAUAAAUUAACUAAAAGGGAAAAUUGAAAUGAUUAUAACCAAAUAUGUAAUUGAUUCUUAGUUUAAUUUUAUAAUCACCACUUUUCUUCAUACAUUUUAAAUUUUACCUUAAUUAUAUUAUUUAACCUAUAUUACAUAUAGUUAUUUGAAAAGGGAAAACAAACAAACAAAUAAAUCCUAAUUAAUAAAAACUAAUUUCACUUUUCCUUUUUUAUUAACAAAAUUUGAGUAAAAUGUGAGUUCUUAUUUCAUCCUUCCUUACCCUUUUCUUUUUUAAGGAAAAAAGUAAAUUAAACAUAUAUGUAUAUAUAUUCAUUAAUUUAAAAGUAGAAUAUGAUUUAAACAUUCUAAGAUGAUCAAUAGUUAAAACCAGCCAUUCUUGCACAUGGUGACAUUUCUUGUUAAAGGGAAAACCAAAUUAGACAAAAACAUUUUUAAAAAGAUAACUUAUGAUAUAUAUAUAUUUUUUGCAUAUCGGUAAAAUUAGUGAUAUCAUAGGACUAUUAGACACCAAUUAAAUGACUAUUGUUAUUGACUCUUAAAUUUUACUUUUAAAAUUUAGAAAAUGUAGUGACAUGAAUUUUAUUAUCAUAAUUUUUUUUUUUUUUUUACUAUUUUUGUAAAAAUCCCAAUAUAAUGUCAGAAUCUAAAGAACAAGAUACACAGGAAGAAAAGCAUAGCAAUAAGUGUAAUUAUUCCUUAUAGUUUACACAGCGUAACGAGAGACUGUUUAGAGGUUCUAAAGCCAAGUUCUCAUGUUGCAUACUAUAGUCGAUAAAAGUCUCAUUGGUAAUCCUAAAAUGGCUCAAGAAAGUUAUCAAGGGAAGAGAAUACAAUUUCUUUUUCACACUUUAGAUAAAAGUUUAAUUUAUUAUUAAGGAUAGUUGCAAAUUUAGCAAUUAGAUUCAAAACAAUUAACAUUAUAGCAACAUUUUAAAAAUUUUGCAAAUAUAGCAAAAUUUGUCAAAUUCUACUCAUGAUAAACUAUGUUGCAUUAUUAUUCCGGGUCAAUUUCAAUUUUGGUUAUUAUUAAUAGAUUUUUUUUUUUUUUUUUUGUUUGGGUGUGGUUUAGGUGAAGCCUAGGUGACUAAGUGUGACGACGAGAAAUGUGAAAGAAUUGAGAGAACAACAGAAUACACAAAAGGAAGAGGGGAAAUUAACAAAAAUAGGAUAAUUUUUAAGGGUUUAAAGAGUUUUAGGAUGGAUUUUAAAAAAGAUGACAUUUAGGACAAAUUAACUAGGAAAAGUCUAUAUUACCCUUUAGUUAUAAAAAAAACCUAAAAAACAAUUUAUGGAAUUCCUUCUCCUUCUUCCUCCAUUUUCUCACUUCCAAAAAGAAUAUUUCAUUUUUCUAUCUCUCUCUAUCCGUAUUCCAUUUUUCCUCAUUUUCACAAAACCUUUGAUUUCCUUUUUCUUCCUUUCUCAUUUUUCAUUCACAAAACUACAAAAACAAUGGUAGUUCCGGUGAUUUCAUUGUGGAACAUGACUUGGUACUCGUGAUCUUGCUGCGAAAAUUGGAUUCCGACGAGGAGGGGUAACAAUUUGAUUUUGAAAAUAAUAGUAAAAGUUUUGAAAUGUGCAAGAUAGGUGCGAGAUGUGUACGAGAUAGGUGCGAGAUGUGUACGAGAUAGGUGCGAGAUGUGUACGAGAUAGGUACGAGAUGUGUACGAGAUAGGUACGAGAUGUGUACGAGAUACGUGCCUUCAACCAUUCAAUGAAAAUGCACAACAACAAAAGCAAUCCGAUCAAAACAAUCCCUAAACAGAAAGUGCGUGGUUAUAAAAAAAAAGACUGAGAAAGGAGAAUCUUGCAUGCCGCAUCUUCGAUGGAGAAUCUUGCACGACGCGUACAAACUGACCACCAAUGGAUGCCUGAACGGUUGACAACGGUAAAUGAGAUGCGACAGCAACUGAGAAAGGAGAAGAGUUGAAGUCGGGCUGCCCUUUGUCUUAGUAGAAGAGAAAGUGAGGGAGAAGGAGAAAGCCGCAAGAAGAGAACGUGAGGGAGAAGGAAAAGGAGAAAAUGACACAAAGUUAAUUUUUAGGGUUUUUUAAAUUAAAGGGUAAUAUAGACUUUUCACAGCUCAUUUGUCCUAAAAGUCUUCUUUUUUAAAAUCCCAUCUCAAAACUCUCACUACCCAUCGAAAUAAUCUCAUUUUUGGCAAUUUCCCAAGGAAGAGUUGGGCGAUGGGCCAAACAGACCCAGUGGCUUUUCUGCUCUCUGUGGGGAUCUUCGCUUCGUUGAGCUCAAAACCCUAACCAAAACCCACCCUUCAUUUUCUUCAUUUUCUUCAUUUUCUUCGUUCCAAAUCACAAUAUGUCCAAAUUUUCCUCCACAUCUCUUCUACAUUUCAUCCAUAAACGUUUUCUUAAUACCAUUUCUACUUCUACGUUGCCUUCACCCUCUUUUUCUACCAUCCAGUUCCUCACUAAUUCAUGCGGCCUUUCUUCAGGAUCUCCUACCUCCGGCGGUCGAAAGCUCCAAUUCGAUGAAAAACACAUCCACCAGUACGAAGCCAUUAUCGGUUUCUUGAAAUCUCAUGGAUUCCAGUAUCCACAGAUCGCCAAAUUGAUCUCGAGGCGACCUUCGAUCCUUCAAUCCAAAGUAUCCAACAAUCUGAAGCCUAAAUUUGAGUUCCUUCAGGAAAUCGGGUUCGUCGGUCCUUUA
rnacentral:lncRNA from 1 species